rnacentral:rRNA from 1 species
AGCGAACGCUGGCGGCAGGCUUAACACAUGCAAGUCGAGCGGGCAUAGCAAUAUGUCUUCGGCUGACGGGUGGGUAACGCGUGGGAACGUACCUUUUGAUUCGGAUCUACUGUGGGAAACUUCAUCUCAUACCGGAUAUUCCCUUACUAGGAAAGAUUUAUCGCCGAAAGAUCGGCCCGGUUCUGAUUACCUACUUGGUUAGGUAAUGCCUCACCAAGUCGACGAUCAGUAGCUGGGCUGAGAGGAGAAUCAGCCACAUUGGAACUGAGACACGGCCCAAAAACAUACGGGAGGGAGCAGAGGGGAAUAUUGGACAAUGGGCGCAAGCCUGGACCAGCCAUGCCGGGUGAGGGAUGAAGGCCGGAGGGUAGUAAAGCUAGUUUGGGCGGGAAGAUAAUGACGGUACCGCAAGAAUAAGCCCCGGCUAACUUCGUG